AGGUUGUUAGUUUAAAAGAAAACCCUUGAUUUCGGCUCAAGAGCCUGUGGUUAAAACCCACAACUACCUG
rnacentral:tRNA from 1 species